UGGGGAAUAUUGGACAAUGGGCGGAAGCCUGAUCCAGCAACGCCGCGUGAGGGAUGACGGCCUUCGGGUUGUAAACCUCUUUCAGUACCGACGAAGCGCAAGUGACGGUAGGUACAGAAGAAGCACCGGCCAACUACGUGCCAGCAGCCGCGGUAAUACGUAGGGUGCGAGCGUUGUCCGGAAUUAUUGGGCGUAAAGGGCUCGUAGGCGGUUUGUCGCGUCGGGAGUGAAAACCAUGGGCUUAACUCAUGGCUUGCUUCCGAUACGGGCAGACUAGAGGCAUGCAGGGGAGAACGGAAUUCCUGGUGUAGCGGUGAAAUGCGCAGAUAUCAGGAGGAACACCGGUGGCGAAGGCGGUUCUCUGGGCAUGUCCUGACGCUGAGGAGCGAAAGUGUGGGGAGCGAACA
rnacentral:rRNA from 1 species